rnacentral:rRNA from 1 species
UACGUAGGUGGCAAGCGUUGUCCGGAUUUACUGGGUUUAAAGGGUGCGUAGGUGGGUCUGUAAGUCCGUGGUGAAAUCUCCGAGCUUAACUUGGAAACUGCCAUGGAUACUAUAGGUCUUGAAUACUGUGGAGGUCAGCGGAAUAUGUCAUGUAGCGGUGAAAUGCUUAGAUAUGACAUAGAACACCAAUUGCGAAGGCAGCUGGCUACACAAAUAUUGACACUGAGGCACGAAAGCGUGGGGAUCAAACAGG